CAACUACUCCCUCUGUCCCAAAUUUCUUGUCUUAGGUUUGUCUAGAUACGGAUGUAUCUAAUACUAAAAUGUGACUUGAUACAUCCGUAUCUAGACAAAUCUAAGACAAGAAUUUUGGGAUGGAGGGAGUACUUU
rnacentral:pre_miRNA from 1 species